GGAAACCGCUUGUUCAUUGGGCAGUUCAGCCGCUUCUCCACUUGCCCCGCGCGCUCAUUGCGUCUAGGAGGGGAUCCAUUGAUCAGCGAAGCUGUUCCUCAGAGUGGAGGCGGGAUUCUUAGGGGAGAGCUCCUCAGCAAUUGGUUACAUUUGACGGCUUUAGUCCAGGGACCCAGACGCUACUGGAUAAGGGGUGAAAUUUGAGGUCAUAUCCCGGGAGAGAGGAAGAAGGGUCGUGAGUCACCGAACCCGAAGGAGAGGAAAAGAUGUGGAGGCAGCGGUCUAUGGCCUCUUCCAGCUCCGGACGGGGGAUGGGGACGCUCUGGGCAAUACGGGCCUCAGUUAUUGUCCCACUGUCCUUUCAACCCUUAACCAACCCAGUUGGAGGCCGCCUGGAAGAAUGUAGCCUUGGAACUAGGGCCUGGAAUUGGGGCUCCUACCGGUUGUGUGGGCUUGGGCAAGUCACUUAACCUUCCCGCAUGCUCCCUUCACUUGGCAACUGAGGGUAACAAUAGUAGUUGAUGAGAAGAUUAAAUAAACUCUGAUAAAUGCCAACAGUGGCUGGCACUCAA
ensembl:lncRNA novel transcript, antisense to ABHD2